AUGUAGUUGUUGUACCCAACUAGCAUAUUUAUUUUCCAAAUAAAAGGUCAAGCCUUAAAAAUUGACUACAUA
rnacentral:tRNA from 1 species